rnacentral:tRNA from 1 species
CCCGUUAUGGUGUAGUGGCUAACAUUAUCGCCUCUCAUAUAUGGAAAGGCGGGUUUCCCUCUGAGAAACGCGAUAGCCCAGGGUUCGAUUCCCUGUAACGGAA